ensembl:lncRNA
CAUCUGUUGCCUCCUUACAGACUCAUCUAACUCAGCCUCUUACAAACAUAAUUAUUUAUUUUUGUCAAUAUUUUAAAUUUAUUUGUCCCUCUGUUUCCAACCAGACAUCUGAAAUCAGAAAACAUUCACUGCUGUGGGGUCAAAGCCUACAACAUUAAAGACCCACAGAUGAAGUGCUGUGCAGGAACACUGUACAAUCUGACAUCAUUAGACAAGCAUGGAGGGGAUGCGCAGUGCUGCGGAUCCAUUCUGCAAAAGCCACAGGAUGUUUGCUGCUCAAGUGAGGACAAAGAGGUGCUCUACUCUGCCAAGACAGGGUUCAGAUGCUGUGGUCACCUUUACUAUAACACCACCCUGUGGUCAUGCUGUGCUGGGGGGCUGAGAAGAAUCCAUGAACCAGGACAGGAUCAGAGAAAGAUGAUUAAUGGAUCCAGACUUCUAUCUGUGAAUAAUCUGAACAAAAUCGAUCUUUGCAAAGAAAUGCACAUUGGGACUGUGGAAAGUGUGUCGCUGCAGAGCAUUGUGUUCAGGAGUGUGCUGAAGGUCCAUGGGAUGGAGGCCAAAGUGAAAGCUCUGCCUUUCCCUUACAUCCUGGAAAGAGAUGAUCGCUGCAGCUCCCCUAAACUGAUUGCUGGGAAGACCUACUACUUUAACAAAGUUAAUGUUUUCAUUGAUUUCAAUCAUGACUCUGUUCUUCAGUCACU